ensembl:snRNA U6 U6 spliceosomal RNA
GUGCUUGCUUCGGCAGCACAUACACUAAAAUUGGAACGAUACAGAGAAGAUUAGCAUGGCCCCUGCACAAGGAAGUAGAGAGAGGAAAUGAAAGUGCACCAGUAACC